UGUCUGUCUGUCGGCGCAGAGACACGCAGGAAAAACUUUACGUUACACAGAGACGGGCUCACGUAGUCAGAGUUGAAAAAUGUAUCAAAAGAUUUGUGA